AAUUGCAUUAGGGAUUGCUUCUUCCUGCUUGUGCAGUUCUAGCCAGAAUAGAUAUGGGCAGGCAUUGUUGCACUGUUUUGAUUGGGGUGGAUGGCUUUUUAACAACUUAUUGUGGCGACAGAUUGGUAGUUGUUGCAUAUCGAACAGCCUAGUGAUCGGAAAGGGUGAUAUUCAAAUGAUGAUCAUUAUCAACAUUAUGGAGUGAUUUCUACAAAAGAUGCAACAGAGCCUUAAUAGUUUUAUUUCUCAACUCACUGAAAUUGAUUUAUUUCAGUUUUUCUAUAUCUCAUAAAACAAGGAGGGAAUCACACUUAAGAAGAUAACUAAAAUAUUGCAUUCCUAUGGGUCAAUAAAAGUAGCACCAUCAAUGCUAGCACUAACAUAUGCCAAACCAAAUUUCUCCAUUUUGCUAAGCACUUUGGUUGAUCGUUAGCCGCUGUAAACUCCAGGGUUUCUUCUUUCUUCAAGAACGUUGAAGCGUGGGUAGUCUGAUGGUUAUAUCUGCAAUUGUCAACUAUAUUAAUUUCACUGUUAUCUAAGUGAAUACACUCUUGGGUUUCGUUGGUUUCGUCUUCCUCCAUAAUCUUCGCUGCAGAGAACUGCUGGUUUAUCGAGGUGUUUUUGAGCGCUUGUGACAUUGCUUCUACCGAUUCCACUGGCCAAAUUUCUUCUUCAUUGGAUCCAGCUGAAGAGCUUCCUGUUACUUCUGAAUUCUCUUCGCCUUUUUCCAUGACACAUUCUUCAUUGUCAACCUCUUCUUCUUCUUCUUCCUCUUGAUCAUCAUCCUCAUCUUCAAUUGAACGCUCUGUUGAAGUUAUGUCUUCACUUGCCUUUGGAGCAUCAUCAAACGCUUCUUCCUCUUUCCAGACUUCAAUUCUUUCCACCAAGGGCGACUCCUUUCCGUAUUCCUGGUCAUCAUCCUCUGUUUCUUUGACUGAAUGCACUGAUGAAUUUUUCUCUUCACAUAUCUCUAAAGAGUCGAUUGGUUCUUCCUUUUUAAGAGCAUUUAUUUCUACCAAGGGGGACUCCUCUUUGGUUUCUUCCUCCUGAUCAUCAUCAUCAUAAUUUUCUUCAACUAAAUGCAUUGAUGAAAUUCUCUCUCCUAUCUUUACAUCAUCCGAUGCUUCCUUCUCUUCUAUACCUUCUUCAACUACUUCCAUUAAGGGUGAUUCCUCUCCCGAAUCAUUCUCAAUCCUGUUCUCCUGUACAUACAAGGAGUGGCUAUCAAACACUGGCGAUGGUAAUUCUUCAAUCCCGCUAUAAUUGUCACACGAGUUAAUGCUUUCUUGUUUUGAAUCAUCCUUGAUGAGGAUCCCCUGAUAAUCAUUUUUAGAAUUCUCAUUUCUGCAAUUGUUUGUAGAUGCAGGAUUUUCUUCCUGAACCAAAUCAUCAAGUUAUCAAAAGAAAUACAAUAAAUAAUCUUAUGUUCAUUACGCGUUUGUUGCAAUAUAAUUGACUUAUAGAUGUGAAACCUGAUGAAUCAUCAGUUCUGGAAGAAAGAAAUUACCAAGAUCAAACUUUCAUUGGAGAACAACUCGCAAGAAUCAAUCUGGGUUGCAACCAUCUUUGUUGAUCCAUCGCUUGCGCAGCAUGGAUUGCAAUGAAAAGUUGAAGGUGAUGAAGUUUGAAGGAUGAACUGCAGCCCUUGACUUGCUUGCUCUUCUUUGUGCCGGCGGCUGCUGAUCUCAUUGGCACCUCUUCUUCUACCUUUGCGGACAGCAAAAGCUGCAGCCAAACCUGCAACAGCCAAGGCUCCGCCCCAGACAACAAGCCCCCCAAUAUCACCUCCACCAGCAGAGACAAAUUGUGGCUUCCUUUUGCCUUGUUUAGAUGUGGACCCGCGUUUCUCCAUGUCUGAUGUUGUUCUUUUCUUUAGUUUUAGGUAUGUGCUAUGCUAGUGAAUAUACGCUAAUUAA
rnacentral:misc_RNA from 1 species